UCUCAGUGUCGCAGUGAAAGCGAUAAACACACCGCCUGGGGAGUACGACCGCAAGGUUAAAACUCAAAUGAAUUGACGGGGGCCCGCACAAGCGGUGGAGCAUGUGGUUUAAUUCGAUGAUACGCGAGGAACCUUACCAGGGCUUAAAUGUAACGGGACAGAUCUAGAGAUAGAUCCUUCUUCGGACUCAUUACAAGGUGCUGCAUGGUUGUCGUCAGCUCGUGUCGUGAGAUGUUGGGUUAAGUCCCGCAACGAGCGCAACCCUCACUUUUAGUUGCCAUCAUUUAGUUGGGCACUCUGAAAGAACUGCCAGUGAUAAGCUGGAGGAAGGUGGGGAUGACGUCAAAUCAUCACGGCCCUUACGUCCUGGGCUACACACGUGCUACAAUGGCCGGUACAGAGAGCAGCCACUCCGCGAGGAGGAGCGAAUCUACAAAACCGGUCUCAGUUCGGAUCGCAGUCUGCAACUCGACUGCGUGAAGCUGGAAUCGCUAGUAAUCGGAUAUCAGCCAUGAUCCGGUGAAUACGUUCCCGGGCCUU
rnacentral:rRNA from 1 species